CUCUAGGUUUUCUUUAAAACCACUGAAGAAUCAUUUAAACUCCUUCU
rfam:Phaethon lepturus contig52328, whole genome shotgun sequence.